UCCGGUGGCCAUAGUGGAAGGGAAACACCCGGUCCCAUUCCGAACCCGGUCGUUAAGCCUUCCAACGCUGAUGGUACUGCACGAGGGAUCGUGCGGGAGAGUAAGACGCUGCCGGAA
rnacentral:rRNA from 1 species